rnacentral:SRP_RNA from 10 species
GCCCCAGGAGGAAAGGGGGACUGUUAGCAGCGUAGGAUUGAGGAGUUGGAAGAGACCUUUAAGACAGCUGGUCAUUAUGCCAACUGGGUGUCCGCACUAAGUUCGGUAUCAGUAUGGUGACCUCCUGGGAACAGGUCAUCGGCUUGCCUAAGGAUGGGAGAACUGGCCCAGGUCAGAAAGGGAGCAGGUCAGAAUUCCUGCACCAAUCGGUAGUGGGACUGUGCCUGGGCAAUAUAGCAAGAUCUUGGUUCUUAAAAUUCAAAAUAAAGAACAGCUCAUUC